UUAAGCGACUAAGCGUACACGGUGGAUGCCCUGGCAGUCAGAGGCGAUGAAGGACGUGCUAAUCUGCGAUAAGCGUCGGUAAGGUGAUAUGAACCGUUAUAACCGGCGAUUUCCGAAUGGGGAAACCCAGUGUGUUUCGACACACUAUCAUUAACUGAAUCCAUAGGUUAAUGAGGCGAACCGGGGGAACUGAAACAUCUAAGUACCCCGAGGAAAAGAAAUCAACCGAGAUUCCCCCAGUAGCGGCGAGCGAACGGGGAGCAGCCCAGAGCCUGAAUCAGUGUGUGUGUUAGUGGAAGCGUCUGGAAAGGCGCGCGAUACAGGGUGACAGCCCCGUACACAAAAAUGCACAUGCUGUGAGCUCGAUGAGUAGGGCGGGACACGUGGUAUCCUGUCUGAAUAUGGGGGGACCAUCCUCCAAGGCUAAAUACUCCUGACUGACCGAUAGUGAACCAGUACCGUGAGGGAAAGGCGAAAAGAACCCCGGCGAGGGGAGUGAAAAAGAACCUGAAACCGUGUACGUACAAGCAGUGGGAGCACGCUUAGGCGUGUGACUGCGUACCUUUUGUAUAAUGGGUCAGCGACUUAUAUUCUGUAGCAAGGUUAACCGAAUAGGGGAGCCGAAGGGAAACCGAGUCUUAACUGGGCGUUAAGUUGCAGGGUAUAGACCCGAAACCCGGUGAUCUAGCCAUGGGCAGGUUGAAGGUUGGGUAACACUAACUGGAGGACCGAACCGACUAAUGUUGAAAAAUUAGCGGAUGACUUGUGGCUGGGGGUGAAAGGCCAAUCAAACCGGGAGAUAGCUGGUUCUCCCCGAAAGCUAUUUAGGUAGCGCCUCGUGAAUUCAUCUCCGGGGGUAGAGCACUGUUUCGGCAAGGGGGUCAUCCCGACUUACCAACCCGAUGCAAACUGCGAAUACCGGAGAAUGUUAUCACGGGAGACACACGGCGGGUGCUAACGUCCGUCGUGAAGAGGGAAACAACCCAGACCGCCAGCUAAGGUCCCAAAGUCAUGGUUAAGUGGGAAACGAUGUGGGAAGGCCCAGACAGCCAGGAUGUUGGCUUAGAAGCAGCCAUCAUUUAAAGAAAGCGUAAUAGCUCACUGGUCGAGUCGGCCUGCGCGGAAGAUGUAACGGGGCUAAACCAUGCACCGAAGCUGCGGCAGCGACGCUUAUGCGUUGUUGGGUAGGGGAGCGUUCUGUAAGCCUGUGAAGGUGUGCUGUGAGGCAUGCUGGAGGUAUCAGAAGUGCGAAUGCUGACAUAAGUAACGAUAAAGCGGGUGAAAAGCCCGCUCGCCGGAAGACCAAGGGUUCCUGUCCAACGUUAAUCGGGGCAGGGUGAGUCGACCCCUAAGGCGAGGCCGAAAGGCGUAGUCGAUGGGAAACAGGUUAAUAUUCCUGUACUUGGUGUUACUGCGAAGGGGGGACGGAGAAGGCUAUGUUGGCCGGGCGACGGUUGUCCCGGUUUAAGCGUGUAGGCUGGUUUUCCAGGCAAAUCCGGAAAAUCAAGGCUGAGGCGUGAUGACGAGGCACUACGGUGCUGAAGCAACAAAUGCCCUGCUUCCAGGAAAAGCCUCUAAGCAUCAGGUAACAUCAAAUCGUACCCCAAACCGACACAGGUGGUCAGGUAGAGAAUACCAAGGCGCUUGAGAGAACUCGGGUGAAGGAACUAGGCAAAAUGGUGCCGUAACUUCGGGAGAAGGCACGCUGAUAUGUAGGUGAAGUCCCUCGCGGAUGGAGCUGAAAUCAGUCGAAGAUACCAGCUGGCUGCAACUGUUUAUUAAAAACACAGCACUGUGCAAACACGAAAGUGGACGUAUACGGUGUGACGCCUGCCCGGUGCCGGAAGGUUAAUUGAUGGGGUCAGCGCAAGCGAAGCUCUUGAUCGAAGCCCCGGUAAACGGCGGCCGUAACUAUAACGGUCCUAAGGUAGCGAAAUUCCUUGUCGGGUAAGUUCCGACCUGCACGAAUGGCGUAAUGAUGGCCAGGCUGUCUCCACCCGAGACUCAGUGAAAUUGAACUCGCUGUGAAGAUGCAGUGUACCCGCGGCAAGACGGAAAGACCCCGUGAACCUUUACUAUAGCUUGACACUGAACAUUGAGCCUUGAUGUGUAGGAUAGGUGGGAGGCUUUGAAGUGUGGACGCCAGUCUGCAUGGAGCCGACCUUGAAAUACCACCCUUUAAUGUUUGAUGUUCUAACGUUGACCCGUAAUCCGGGUUGCGGACAGUGUCUGGUGGGUAGUUUGACUGGGGCGGUCUCCUCCUAAAGAGUAACGGAGGAGCACGAAGGUUGGCUAAUCCUGGUCGGACAUCAGGAGGUUAGUGCAAUGGCAUAAGCCAGCUUGACUGCGAGCGUGACGGCGCGAGCAGGUGCGAAAGCAGGUCAUAGUGAUCCGGUGGUUCUGAAUGGAAGGGCCAUCGCUCAACGGAUAAAAGGUACUCCGGGGAUAACAGGCUGAUACCGCCCAAGAGUUCAUAUCGACGGCGGUGUUUGGCACCUCGAUGUCGGCUCAUCACAUCCUGGGGCUGAAGUAGGUCCCAAGGGUAUGGCUGUUCGCCAUUUAAAGUGGUACGCGAGCUGGGUUUAGAACGUCGUGAGACAGUUCGGUCCCUAUCUGCCGUGGGCGCUGGAGAACUGAGGGGGGCUGCUCCUAGUACGAGAGGACCGGAGUGGACGCAUCACUGGUGUUCGGGUUGUCAUGCCAAUGGCACUGCCCGGUAGCUAAAUGCGGAAGAGAUAAGUGCUGAAAGCAUCUAAGCACGAAACUUGCCCCGAGAUGAGUUCUCCCUGACCCUUUAAGGGUCCUGAAGGAACGUUGAAGACGACGACGUUGAUAGGCCGGGUGUGUAAGCGCAGCGAUGCGUUGAGCUAACCGGUACUAAUGAACCGUGAGGCUUAACCU
rnacentral:rRNA from 1 species